GGGGAUUUAGCUCAGUGGCACAGCAUCUGCCUGGUGAGCACAAGGUCAUGAGUUUGAUUCCCAGAACCUCCG
rnacentral:tRNA from 1 species